UCUGGAAUAAUACGUCGAAAGGUGUACUAAUACCGGAUAUUCUUGCUUUUCACAAGUUAUGCAAGCAAAGGUGGCCUCUGGCAUAAGCUACUGCAUAAGGAGGGGUCUGCGUACCAUUAGCUAGUAGGUGGGGUAAUGGCCCACCUAGGCGACGAUGGUUAACGGGUCUGAGAGGAUGAUCCGUCACACUGGCACUGGAACACGGGCCAGACUCCUACGGGAGGCAGCAGUGAGGAAUAUUGCGCAGUGGGGGCAACCCUGACGCAGCGACGCCGCGUGAGUGAGGAAGGCCUUCGGGUCGUAAAGCUCUGUCAAAGGGAAAGAAGUGCAUAGUGGUUAAUACCCAUUAUGUUUGACGGUACCCUUAAAGGAAGCACCGGCUAACUCCGUGCCAGCAGCCGCGGUAAUACGGAGGGUGCAAGCGUUGUUCGGAAUCACUGGGCGUAAAGGGCGCGUAGGCGGUUUGAUAAGUCAGAUGUGAAAGCCCACGGCCUAACCGUGGAAGUGCAUUUGAAACUGUCAGACUUGAGUACCAGAGGGGAAAGUGGAAUUCCCGGUGUAGAGGUGAAAUUCGUAGAUAUCGGGAGGAAUGCCGGUGGCGAAGGCGACUUUCUGGCUGGAUACUGACGCUGAGGCGCGAAAGCGUGGGGAGCAAACAAGAUUAGAUACCCUGGUAAUCCACGCUGUAAACGAUGUGAACUAGAUGUAGGGGGUGUUGAUCCCUUCUGUGUCGCAGCUAACGCAUUAAGUUCACCGCCUGGGGAGUACGGUCGCAAGAUUAAAACUCAAAGGAAUUGACGGGGGCCCGCACAAGCGGUGGAGUAUGUGGUUUAAUUCGAUGCAACGCGAAGAACCUUACCUGGUCUUGACAUCCCAGAAAUCCCUUGGAAACUUGGGAGUGCUUCCAUUAGGAAGAAUCUGGAGACAGGUGCUGCAUGGCUGUCGUCAGCUCGUGUCGUGAGAUGUUGGGUUAAGUCCCGCAACGAGCGCAACCCUUGCCUUUAGUUGCCAGCGGUUCGGCUGGGCACUCUAAAGGGACUGCCGGUGUUAAACCGGAGGAAGGUGGGGAUGACGUCAAGUCCUCAUGGCCUUUAU
rnacentral:rRNA from 1 species